rnacentral:rRNA from 1 species
UACAGAGGUCCCAAGCGUUGUUCGGAUUCACUGGGCGUAAAGGGUGCGUAGGUGGCCGGGUAAGUCUGACGUGAAAUCUCCGAGCCUAACUCGGAAACUGCAUCGGAUACUAUCCGGCUCGAGGGUUGGAGGGGGGACAUGAAUCUUGGUGUAGCAGUGAAAUGCGUAGAUAUCAAGUGGAACACCAGUGGCGAAGGCGGCUCUCUGGUCCAUUUCUGACGCUGAGGUGCGAAAGCUAGGGUAGCAAACGGG